UGGGGAAUAUUGGACAAUGGGCGCAAGCCUGAUCCAGCCAUACCGCGUGGGUGAAGAAGGCCUUCGGGUUGUAAAGCCCUUUUGUUGGGAAAGAAAAGCAUUCGGUUAAUACCCGAUUGUUCUGACGGUACCCAAAGAAUAAGCACCGGCUAACUUCGUGCCAGCAGCCGCGGUAAUACGAAGGGUGCAAGCGUUACUCGGAAUUACUGGGCGUAAAGCGUGCGUAGGUGGUUGUUUAAGUCUGUCGUGAAAGCCCUGGGCUCAACCUGGGAAUUGCGAUGGAAACUGGGCGACUAGAGUGUGGCAGAGGGUAGUGGAAUUCCUGGUGUAGCAGUGAAAUGCGUAGAGAUCAGGAGGAACAUCCGUGGCGAAGGCGACUGCCUGGGCCAACACUGACACUGAGGCACGAAAGCGUGGGGAGCAAACAGGAUUAGAUACCCUGGUAGUCCACGCCCUAAACGAUGCGAACUGGAUGUUGGGUGCAAUUUGGCACGCAGUAUCGAAGCUAACGCGUUAAGUUCGCCGCCUGGGGAGUACGGUCGCAAGACUGAAACUUAAAUGAAUUGACGGGGUCAUAGUUG
rnacentral:rRNA from 1 species